UUGAAAUAGAAACAAUUCCCAGACAAGGCUGAUGGUAAAAAUGGAUGGCUAAGUCAAUCCAUUUUAAGCAUAUUAUCCGAGGAACUUGUUCUGUCCCACAACUUGGAGGGGGCCAAAACAAGAAGAAGCUCAAAGUCUACCCAAAUUUCGUCCGCGCCUUGUUAAAUUCAAUCGCUCGGAGCCCUCGGAGCCUCCCGAAAAGGCACUGCAAAAAGCAAUGAGGUGCGUGAAAAACCAGAUGCUGAAGAACCGACGACUCCGAUAACACCGGGAACCCCCGAACUGAAAUUU